rnacentral:tRNA from 1 species
GGAGAGAUGGCUGAGUGGUCGAAAGCGGCUGCCUCGAAAGCGGUUAUUCCAUGAAAAUGGGGUCGGGGGUUCGAAUCCCUCUCUCUCCUCCA